rnacentral:tRNA from 2 species
CCCGGAUUAGCUUAAAGUUCAGAGCUUCAAUCUUUUAAAUUGAUGGUAAAUAUAAUUUAUUCGGGU